CUAGAUGUGGUUAUGGAAUCCAACGCGAUUUCGGCGUCUGAAAGCUCUUGAAAAGAAAAACUAUUUGGAAAGAAAGUCACUAAGCCUACUAAGUUGGGUAUUCUGGGAAGCAAAGAUCUUGUGUUCUCGGAGGAUGAUAUAUUGAAAUCUAUCGUUAAUGGCAUACCGGUGAUUGAUUUUUCAGAAUGAAUUCAAAAACUCAUAGUAAAAG
rnacentral:lncRNA from 1 species